UUUGCAUCAGAAGGUGCCUCCUUACAAACCCUUCGGGGUAGGAGCUCGUGUGACUUGGGCCUAUACCAGGCAAACUUGGGAACAGGAACGGCCAGCUGACAGCAAGAACCUGAAAACUGUGUGGUUGCAGUAUACACCCUGAUGAGGAAUUACUGGAUCAUAAGAUAAAAUCAAACUGCAUCUCAGAUGAAACCGACGGUGAAGAGUCUGGCUGUAACGUUAUCAUUCUUCCCAUUAUUAUUUUUUUUUCUC